UACGUAGGUGGCGAGCGUUAUCCGGAUUUACUGGGUGUAAAGGGCGUGUAGGCGGGUUUGCAAGUCGGGUGUGAAAGAUUCGGGCUUAACCCGGAGAGGUCAUCCGAAACUGCAGAUCUUGAGUGCUGGAGAGGAUAGUGGAAUUCCUGGUGUAGCGGUAAAAUGCGUAGAGAUCAGGAGGAACACCAGUGGCGAAGGCGGCUAUCUGGACAGUAACUGACGCUGAGGCGCGAAAGCGUGGGGAGCAAACAGGAUUAGAUACCCCGGUA
rnacentral:rRNA from 1 species